UGAAAGGCGAGAAGGUUAGCAUUCCCCUUGAGAAGGAUGGAAGGGGUCUUAGUGGUCUUUACAAAACGUAUAUCUGGUUCGUUCAUUCACUCACUCACUAGUAUUUAU
rnacentral:ncRNA from 1 species